CCUGCUUGUGGUUGAAUAUUUCCGUUAAUAAUGGGACCUUUGAUGAUCUUUCUUUAUAGGCUACAUGUCAAGAUCGGUCUCUAGAAUCUAUCCUGAUGCUUCUCGCUGUAUUUAUUGAACAGGUGCCAGCAUGGAGUUUUUGCCCUAUUCUUCUAACCAAUGUGAACUGCCCAAAAACAGCUUAGUUUUAGCUGAAACCAUGAUUUUGAAGGAUAUGGAAGUGAUAAGUUUUGGUUACCUUGUAACUCACUAAUAUCUUAACUUGUAUAAACUUGUAUUC